AUGGCGGUAGGGAUGGAGAAAAGUGGUCAGAUGGGAAGGUACGUAGGAGGGGAAUUAUCAGGAGUUGCAGGUAGAGAAGAAGGGGCCAACGAAGCUUGUCUUCUCUUUCCUGGUCGCUCCUUCCAGCGGCCCCAGCAACGCUGUCUGGCGUGCAGAUCAUACUCAUGGCGUCCGACGCUGCCACCUGCUCGCUUCUCGGGCCCUGUGGCCCAGGGGCCUGGAGGCUGGGGGCGGCAGGCCUGGGUCCAUAGCACCCCCAGCACGCAAAGGCGGGCGGAGCCUCGUUCCCUCCCAGCCUCAGAGACCAGCGGCCCAGGGCCGGACCUUCAGGUGACUGCCAACCCCACCGCUGCUCUGUUACACAGGCCAGAUUGCAACCCCUGCUUUAGGGCUCUUUUAAGAACAUUUCAUUGCUGCGUCUUGAAGUUCAACACAAGAAAAAAAAAUGAAUUAAAGAAAGGACAGCAUUACCCCAAAUACAAUACCUGCAGAACAGCACCGGGAACAAGCAGAGGGGUCGUGUCUCAACUUGCUUCCCUGGGAAGGCAGGGAAGCGCGCACGUGCCUCUCAGCUCGGAGGACCGUCCAGCAGAAGAUGCAAAGUGCGCAUGUGCGGGAGGUCCGAGGCCCGCCCCAAGAGGUGGGGAAAUGCGCGUGUGCUGCGGGUCCGAGACCCGCCCCCAAGAGGUGGAGUGCGCCUGUGCCACAGGACGAAGGCGCGCCCCGGAAGAAGCGGGGAGGGAACCCAAAAAUCGUGGCGUGGCACUGUCCGUCCGCCCAAACGGCCCAUGUUCCGUAGUGGAAUCCACGCCGACGAAGACUCCGCCUUUAGCUCUGGGUCCUAUGCCUUUGGUUUCGUGUUCAGUACCACACUUUUGGAACGCCUGGGGGGUCAAACCGAGCGGCUCACGGGGCAGAAAGCGCCCUCUCUCCCGGGCCAGAGGAAAUUGGCGAAGCCCAUUGGCUAGCGGGGGCGGAAGGGGCUGGGUCGUUCGUCCUGCGAGUGGAGCAUGUUGGGUGUUGUAG
rnacentral:lncRNA from 1 species